UCCCUGGUGGCCUAGCAGUUAAGGACUCAGCAUUUUCACUGCUAGGGCUCAGGUUCAAUCCCUGGCCUGGGAA
rnacentral:tRNA from 1 species